UGGAGUCGAGGCAGUUCUGCCCUUUGUGGGUGUCCAUAUGAAGGCUAGUUUUCCAUUCUUGUCAUUAAUUGACUUUCACUAAUUUUGACCAAGGAGAUCAUUGUCAAAGGUUGACAAAAGGAUUAAAUCAAAGGGGUACAAAAAUAUCACAUCUCGCAGGGAAGUAGAGACCUAAUGUCAUUUACCUUUUGAAAGAAUAAAUAAAUGGAUCAUGUUAAUAAAUACCUAAAGUCGGUAAGUAAUGUUUUUUGGUGGUGUUCGGUAUUCAAACAUGAACUUUGCAUGUAUUAUGCAUUAUUUUUGUCAAUUGAGUUAAGUUUACGAGAAC
rnacentral:lncRNA from 1 species